rnacentral:rRNA from 1 species
UACAGAGGGUGCGAGCGUUAAUCGGAAUUACUGGGCGUAAAGCGUGCGUAGACGGUCAUGUAAGUCGGGUGUGAAAGCCCCGGGCUCAACCUGGGAAUUGCAUUCGAGACUGCAUGGCUAGGAUGCGGAAGAGGGAAGCGGAAUUUCCGGUGUAGCGGUGAAAUGCGUAGAUAUCGGAAGGAACAUCAGUGGCGAAAGCGGCUCCUGGACCAGUACCGACGUCAGGCACGAAAGCGUGGGGAGCAAACAGG